AACGUAGGGGGCAAGCGUUGUCCGGAAUCACUGGGCGUAAAGGGCGCGUAGGCGGCAAUAUAAGUCAGGUGUGAAAAGUGAGGGCUCAACCGUUAGAGUGCACCUGAUACUGUAUAGCUUGAGUAUGGGAGAGGGAAGCGGAAUUCCUAGUGUAGCGGUGAAAUGCGUAGAUAUUAGGAAGAACACCAGUGGCGAAGGCGGCUUUCUGGCCCAAAACUGACGCUGAGGCGCGAAAGCGUG
rnacentral:rRNA from 1 species